CUGAAAUGUUCACCAUUAUCUUCCUUAUCCCAAUCACCUUCCUCAUCAGCACCAGUAGCCAUCAUCUUGGCACCUUCCAAGGGCUAAAUCUCUCUCUUCUCCUGCAUACAGGUUGGGAUACAACUUUUAUAAUAUGUUAGGUUGCGCCACUCAGUCUAAUGCGUAUUCAGCAGGGGUUUCUCCUCUGUUUCUUAUUUGUAUUUCCUCCCCCUGCCGAUGUUGGGGUGUCCUUCUCUUGGGUUAGUGAGACCAUUCAUACAACUUAUCGUAUUUGUCGCCGUGGUACUCCUGCGAUGAGGCAUCUGUGGACAUUUUUAUCCAAAAGCCAGCGUUAGCUCGUGUUCCUGUGGUUGGCAAGUGUCAUCAUGGGCCAAAUUCCCCCUCAGACACUCUAUUUCCAGUUCCCCAAAACUUAGGGAUGACCCUUAGGCCAGUUAUCUGUGCCAGAGUUCAUAGACCUCAAGCCUUAUGCUAACUGCGGAAGCCAAUAACUUAACAGAUACAAAGCCUGUAGAUUCCUUGCAUUACUGCUGCAUAAAAUAAAAGUUAAAGUUGGAUCUCUGGGCUACAGUUGAUAGUUAAAUUUACCCCCAAUGUAUAAGUAGCUGCAGUUUUUCUCUCCAUUGUGCAUUGCUUUGCAAUUAGAAAGACAAGGUGGGUGAGGUAAUACCUUUCAUUGGAGCCACUUCAGUUGGUCAGAGAGACAAAUCUCUGAGCUGCAUAGAGCUCUCCAGGAGAAUAUUCUAAAAUAUCACAUACUUUUGCCUGGCUUUCUCUCUAGUUAUGUGUUACUAAUUUAAUAAUCUCUAAGGGUUUUUUUGCUGUCUUUCUAAUUAUAAAACAUUAACAUAAAAUAUCCUCUGAUUUUAACCUUUGCUCAAAUUCUUGAAUAUUGAAUGGCUGGCAGGGCCUUCUGAUAACUUUCUAUCCAUUUAUCAAUUACUGAUAUAAAUCACGACAGGCUUUUCUUCUCUCCCCAUUUUCAGAACUGCUGGAACUUCAGGUUUUGGAGGGAAAACUGUUGCUGUGAAUCCUUCUCAGAAGAAGGGGUGAGGGAGGAGGAAAAGACUCUGGCCUCGUCCCUCCUGAGCCAUGUUUCUGGUCUCAAUGAGACCAGUGUUACUCAAGAGACACUUCAAGGAAGAACAUAGAGUGACUCCAGAUUAAGAUGGGGGCAAAUAAAAUCAGGAUAUGUCCCUGUGGGGAGGGGGUUUCAGUUGUUGCUAAAGGGGGGAGGAGAAAGCCCUCAGUCUCUGUCUGACUCUCUCUCUUUCUCUCAUUCUCCCCUCAAGAUAUUGGGAUUGAGCUUCCUGGUUCAGACACUGCUGCCUGCAUUGGGAUCUGGGAGCCCAGACUGAGCAGCUGCUGCUCCCCCUGUGGGGUCUGGGCUUGGGAGUGACUUGGAGUGAAGCUUCCUCUUUGCCCAGGCAAGGCUUGACUGGCCUCUAUUCCCCAGGUCUUCGUUGUUCCCGUUUUGGAAGACAGGUUUUAUGUUUGCCCUUCUCCAGUCUUGCGGGACCUCACCAUCCUCCCGGAGUUGUCGGAGUUCAUUGUUAACUGUUCCAAGAUUGCUUCAGCUAAUUCCUUGAGUAGCCCAGGAUGAAUUUCGUUAGGCCCUGCUGACUUCAAUUAAUGUAACUUAGGCGGCAGCGCAACAUCCACAUUUUCCGCCAGAUCUUUUCAUCCGUCCAAAGAAGCAAAAUGGCUGCGGUGGAGCCAUUUGAGGGGCCGGUGACUUUCGAGGAGGUGGCUGUGUAUUUCACC